GACGAACGCUGGCGGCGUGCUUAACACAUGCAAGUCGAACGAAGUGGCGAACGGGUGAGUAACGCGUAAUCAACCUUCCCUUCAGAGGGGGACAACAGUUGGAAACGACUGCUAAUAACGCAUACUGAAGGAGGAGAUUGCGUCUGAUUAGGUAGUUGGAGGGGUAACGGCCCACCAAGGCGAGUACCAGUAGCCGGGCUGAGAGGAUGAACGGCAACAUUGGGACUGAGACACGGCCCAGACCCCUACGGGAGGCAGCAGUGGGGAAUCUUCCGCAAUGGACGAAAGUCUGACUGAGCAACGCCGCGUGAGUGAUGACGGCCUUCGGGUUGUAAAGCUCUGUUAAUCGGGACGCGGUACCGGAAUAGAAAGCCACGGCUAACUACGUGCCAGCAGCCGCGGUAAUUC
rnacentral:rRNA from 1 species